rnacentral:lncRNA from 1 species
ACAAUAAAAUUAUAGGGUGGAAUCAUUGAAAAUAGCUGUCUGUUGUUUUAGUUUGAGUGUUGUCAUGUGAGUGCGAAGAGAGAAAUGUAAAGAGAUUAAUUUGUUACUGAAGAUGAUAAAGUUGUUAUAUUCGCUGGUAUUUAUGCUUUGCUUGUCUGUUUCAAAUGCUGAGUUUGACUGCCGCAUUAGCUUGCCUUGCAACAAUACUAGUUUAAAUGACAGCAAAGUCGAAGAUUAUUGUGAAUCGAUCGUUCAUAAAAAUAUGACUGGGAGAUGUUGUAUUUCUAAUGAAACUGUUAUAGGGCUUGAUCUUAGGGACUGUGAAA